rnacentral:rRNA from 1 species
GACGAACGCUGGCGGCGUGCCUAACACAUGCAAGUCGAGCGGAAAGGCCCCUUCGGGGGUACUCGAGCGGCGAACGGGUGAGUAACACGUGGGUAAUCUGCCCUGGACACAGGAAUAACCAGUGGAAACGCUGGCUAAUGCCUGAUGAUGUGCCGGCCCUGCGGGGCCUUCACCAAAGGUAGCUUCGGCUUCCGGUCCUGGAUGAGCCCGCGUCCCAUUAGCUUGUUGGCGGGGUAACGGCCCACCAAGGCUUCGAUGGGUAGCUGGUCUGAGAGGACGAUCAGCCACACUGGGACUGAGACACGGCCCAGACUCCUACGGGAGGCAGCAGUGGGGAAUCUUGCGCAAUGGGCGAAAGCCUGACGCAGCAACGCCGCGUGCGGGAAGAAGGCCUUCGGGUUGUAAACCGCUUUCAGCAGGGAAGAAGGCGAGCGGGUUAAUAGCCCGUCAGUUGACGGUACCUGCAGAAGAAGGCCCGGCUAACUACGUGCCAGCCGCCGCCGUAACAC